rnacentral:rRNA from 1 species
GAUGAACGCUAGCGGCAGGCUUAAUACAUGCAAGUCGUGGGGCAGCAUGAAGUAGCAAUACUUUGAUGGCGACCGGCAAACGGGUGCGGAACACGUACACAACCUUCCUUUUAGUGGGGAAUAGCCCAGAGAAAUUUGGAUUAAUACCCUGUAACAUAGCGAUGUGGCAUCACAUUGCUAUUAUAGCUUCGGCGCUAGAUGAUGGGUGUGCGUAUGAUUAGAUAGUUGGCGAGGUAACGGCUCACCAAGUCUACGAUCAUUAGCUGAUGUGAGAGCAUGAUCAGCCACACGGGAACUGAGACACGGGCCCGACUCCUACGGGGGGCAGCAGUAAGGAAUAUUGGUCAAUGGACGAAAGUCGGAACCAGCCAUGCCGCGUGAAGGAUUAAGGUCCUCUGGAUUGUAAACUUCUUUUAUAUGGGACGAAAAAAGGUCUUUCUAGAUCACUUGACGGUACCAUAUGAAUAAGCACCGGCUAACUCCGUGCCAGCCGCCGCGGUAACAC